CAAACUCGAAGUGAAGAGCUGCAAGGAUUGCACACAUUGACUCAGGUCUGUGUCUGCUUAGCUUAAGCUCCACAUGAAUGAUGUGGAGGAGCUCCAUGUGUAGGAAAUGCUUAGAAUGCCAGGCAAAAGGGAAAGGAGAUAGUGUUAAUAAAGGAAGGUUUCAGUGUGGGAUAUCUUCAGAAUGUCUAUCCUAUAAGCAUGCCUACCACCUAUAGCUUUCGAAUGCUGUGCUUACCAGGUACACUGUGGCCUUUUAAUGAUGGCACAGUCAGCAGCGAGGCCAGUCUUUUGAGAUCCUGGUUACGAAUGAUAUAAUCCAUUACAGCUUCAUCCAGUGACUCUAGUCUGUGGUGAGAAGGAG